rnacentral:rRNA from 1 species
AUUGAACGCUGGCGGCAUGCCUUACACAUGCAAGUCGAACGGUAACAGGUCUUCGGAUGCUGACGAGUGGCGAACGGGCGAGUAAUACAUCGGAACGUGCCCGAGAGUGGGGGAUAACGAGGCGAAAGCUUUGCUAAUACCGCAUACGAUCUCAGGAUGAAAGCAGGGGACCGCAAGGCCUUGCGCUCACGGAGCGGCCGAUGGCAGAUUAGGUAGUUAGUGGGAUAAAAGCUUACCAAGCCGACGAUCUGUAGCUGGUCUGAGAGGACGACCAGCCACACUGGGACUGAGACACGGCCCAGACUCCUACGGGAGGCAGCAGUGGGGAAUUUUGGACAAUGGGCGAAAGCCUGAUCCAGCAAUGCCGCGUGCAGGAUGAAGGCCUUCGGGUUGUAAACUGCUUUUGUACGGAACGAAAAAGCUCCUUCUAAUACAGGGGGCCCAUGACGGUACCGUAGAAUAAGCACCGGCUAACUACGUGCCAGCCGCCGCCGUAACAC